GGACAGUUUCUGCUUGAAUUUGUUUGCAAGAUGUCAGAAUAGCCUCCCAGAGCUGCUGUUUGGAUGUAAACUGCCUCCCACCCUCAUAGAUCUUUUGCUUUAGGAUGCUCCAAAGGUUCUCAAUAGGAUUGAGGUCAGGGGAGGAUGGAGGCCACACCAUGACUUUCUCUUCCUUAAUCCCCAUAGCAGCCAUUGAUGCAGAGGUAUUCUUUGCAGCAUGAGAUGGUGCAUUGUCAUGCAUGAAGGUGAUUUUAUUACGGAAAGCAUAGUUCUUCCUUC